GUUCCCUGCUGUCUUCCUGGGCUGUUCCCUGCUGUCUUCCUGGGCUGUUCCCUACUGUCUCUAGAGAGCAGAAGAGGUAUAUGGACUUACAGAGGACAGAGUUUGUCACUGCUAGAGAAAACCAGGGUGCAUGCUGUAUCCUCUGACCCGAGUUCCGCUUUGAAUCUUCAAUGUGAAUCCUCUCCAGCUGGGCACUGGAAAUGGGCUCUCCGCACAAACAGGAUCUGGGAGCCAUUUGGAUCCCUGCCUCCUUUUUUUCUUAGAACAGAAGAAGACCCAACCUGCUCCUCAAGAAACUUGUUAAGAUGGACAAGUGAUCUGAUAUGGAAACGAGGUGUGGCCUAUCUUUCAGAACCCUGGGAAGAACAGAAGGGGACACUUCUGGAAAUCAGAGUGAGGCAUACUCUUACAGACAAGAACGCAACCAAAAGCAAAUGGGACCUUCAUUCUAAAAAUGAAUUUCAUUGUUAACCAUCUCUGGCAAUGUAAAAAACUGGCAUGCCACAACUCCAAUUCACUUCUUUGAGGCCUGAGCUUUGUCAGAGUCUGCAAACUUUCUCUGCAAAUGGCAAGAUCGUUAAUUUUUUAAGGUUUUAUGGGACCAGCAGUCUCUAUUACUAUAAAUCAACUCUACUGUGCAACCGCAAAAGCAGCCAGACAAUGGUCUCAGUAUGCUGAGCCAAGAAAAAUCUGCAGAGAAAACAGAAACCUGGAGCCCCUCUGUGGACCUGUUUCCUACUUGCUGCAGUGGGAAUGAGAUGGAGCCAGGACAGCACCAUCCACAAACUACCACUGUCUGGGGCAGGGAGGACCUGUGCUCAGCCACCAGGACCAGAUGGCACUUGCAGAGGGAAGCCUGCUAAUUCUGCAACCUGAGGUGUGACCCAGCCAUAAACCAGCAUGAGGUGUCACCAUUUGGGCUGCUACCUCUUCCUUUCACUCCCAUAAAAGACAGUCAGAAACAAACUGAUAAUUCCAUUUAAUUUUAGUUAAUACAACUUUGCCUCCUUCCCCCACUCGCCCAGGAGUAUUAAAAGAAAUGGCAUCAUUUAUAGCUGAAUAUUUGUAUUCUGGGCCACUCUUAGAGAUGGAAACGUUUGGAAUGUUUGGAGUUGUAGUUAGUCGUCAUUUCCACUAGGUGGCAGUGUUCCCCUACAUAUGAGAAAGGGAGCCCAGUCCCGGGACUGUGCUGCAAAGGAAUG